rnacentral:rRNA from 1 species
AUUGAACGCUGGCGGCAGGCUUAACACAUGCAAGUCGAGCGGGGUGAUGGUGCUUGCGCUAUCACUUAGCGGCGGACGGGUGAGUAAUGCUUAGGAAUCUGCCUAUUAGUGGGGGACAACAUCUCGAAAGGGAUGCUAAUACCGCAUACGUCCUACGGGAGAAAGCAGGGGAUCACUUGUGACCUUGCGCUAAUAGAUGAGCCUAAGUCGGAUUAGCUAGUUGGUGGAGUGAAGGCCUACCAAGGCGACGAUCUGUAGCGGGUCUGAGAGGAUGAUCCGCAACACUGGGACUGAGACACGGCCCAGACUCCUACGGGAGGAAGCAGUGGGGAAUAUUGGAAAAUGGGGGGAACCCUGAUCCAGCCAUGCCGCGUGUGUGAAGAAGGCCUUAUGGUUGUAAAGCACUUUAAGCGAGGAGGAGGCUCUUUUGGUUAAUACCCAAGAUGAGUGGACGUUACUCGCAGAAUAAGCACCGGCUAACUCUGUGCCAGCCGCCGCAGUAA